ACAAGCGGUGGAUCAUGUUGUUUAAUUCGACGAUACGCGAAGAACUUACCAGGUCUUGACAUCCCCUGCAAAGCUAUGGAGACAUAGUGGAGGUUAUCAGGGAGACAGGUGGUGCAUGGUUGUCGUCAGCUCGUGUCGUGAGAUGUUGGGUUAAGUCCCGCAACGAGCGCAACCCUUAUUGCUAGUUACCAUCAUUAAGUUGGGGACUCUAGCGAGACUGCCAGUGAUAAACUGGAGGAAGGUGGGGAUGACGUCAAAUCAUCAUGCCCCUUAUGACCUGGGCUACAAACGUGAUACAAUGGCUGAAACAAAGGGCAGCGAAGGAGCGAUCUGGAGCGAAACCCAAAAAGCAGUCUCAGUUCGGAUUGAAGUCUGCAACUCGACUUCAUGAAGUCGGAAUCGCUAGUAAUCGCGGAUCAGAACGCCGCGGUGAAUACGUUCUCGGGGUUU
rnacentral:rRNA from 1 species